CCUAAUUUAAAAAAACCUUAUUUUGACAGUAAUUUAUGAAUGUUAAUAACUUUGUUUUUUGCAUUAUGACGUCUAAUAUAACUAGGUACUUGAAAUUAUGGCAAUUAAUGAGUUAUUGAAGUGUAUUAAAUCUCAGCUGGAUCGACCAAAUAUUUUAAUGAAACGUAGGAAUAAUUUAACAGUAGUUUAUUCCAGUAAAAUGAAAAAUCAAAGACUAAGCCAAGAAAAUAAAAAUACCAAUUAUUGAACAAAAAUGAAAAAUAGAAAUAUAUGAAAUAAGGAAUUUCAAGUUCAACAAAUUGAACAUUAUCUGGUAUUGGCAUCUCUGGCUCUAAUGACGUCCCUCAUUCUCUGUGGAAGGCUUCUUAUCCUUAUCAGAGACCGUAUGUACUCCAAAUCCAAAUUAUCUCAUUCUUCAACAUAUUGCUGCGAUCGUCCAUCUCCAAAUUAAAGCUACGAUUUGGGUUGUUUGUUUUGAUGUUAAAUUACUUAUUUUUUCUGUAAAAAUGCACUUCAUCAUUGAAAAAUCAAGCAAACAUAGUGUACAGAUCAAAUUCUCGAAAACAAAAGUCCAAAUAAAUAUUCUCUCGUAUUAA
rnacentral:lncRNA from 1 species